GUUUCCCUGGGGCGUUCGUGAUUUAUGCCUCGGUGCUAACCUGACAAGUUUAUGCAAUGGGGGUCGUCACUGUCCUUAUGUGUGCAUGCCCGGUGCGACCGGGAAGCCUGACAAGGGCAUACGCGCGCCCGACCUGGGUAUCCAGGUUCUGUACCGCAUGCAUGACACGGCGCUUCGGGGAACGC
rnacentral:other from 1 species